AGAGUUUGAUCCUGGCUCAGGAUGAACGCUGGCGGCGUGCCUAACACAUGCAAGUCGAACGAGGUAAAUAAGAUGAAGUUUUCGGAUGGAUUCUUAUUUACCGAGUGGCGGACGGGCGAGUAACGCGUGGGUAACCUGCCUCAUACAGGGGGAUAACGGUUAGAAAUGACUGCUAAUACCGCAUAAGCGCACAGUACCACAUGGUACAGUGUGAAAAACUCCGGUGGUAUGAGAUGGACCCGCGUCUGAUUAGCUAGUUGGUGAGGUAACGGCCCACCAAGGCGACGAUCAGUAGCCGACCUGAGAGGGUGACCGGCCACAUUGGGACUGAGACACGGGCCCAGACCUCCUACGGGAGGCA
rnacentral:rRNA from 1 species